ACUGCUCCUUUCCUAGCACUUCAGGCACCAGCAUGAGCUCUUUUUUUACAAUUUAGGCAUGAGAGAGGGGAUAAAUUAUCAGCACCUAGUUGAAGAAAGGGAAUUGACACCCUCAAAUAGUUCACUGAAAUUCUCCUCUCCACCCAAAGGAGCAGAAUUCCCCAUCCUUUUGUGGGGAAUGAAUUGUCUCUUGAAAAUGUAGAGGGGAUUUUUUUUUUCCUACAGCAAUACUAAAGCUUUAGGUACUCAAGAGACUUGCAGGUCUUAUGAAAAGAAUCGAUAUUGAGGCCUUAUACUCUGCUAGACAGGGAGGAAAUGCCCACAGGGCAAUACGCAGAGACAAUACCAACAGAUGUAGCUAAACGUAACGGUUGUGCACAGACCGUAUAUUUAUAAUGCAUUGAAACCACAUUAUUUUCCUCAAGGAAUCCUGGAUACUGUAGUUUACCCCUCACAGAGCUACAGGUCCCAAAAACCUUAACAAACUACGGAUUAUUUGGGGUAAGUAAUGUACUGUUUUUGUAUGGUGUGUCUGUAGCCCAACUCUCUUCAUCACACCUGUUCCCACUGCAGAUGUCACAAGCCACUGAUCAGCUUAAAAAGCUGUAAUACAGCUAUGGGAACUGUUUCAGGCUGAGGGAGCCGGCGUUUGUCCACUGACAGCUUUCUGGGUCAUGGCACCAGCAUGACUACACUGCUUGUGGCACAAGAGAACACUAUGGCAGAAGCCAGAACACAUGGAAAUGCUAUUUACCUUCUCGCCGCAGUGGUACCUAUUUAUCUAAGUGCACUGGUGUGCUAGGUUGACAGAAGCUGGGAUAGAGCAACGAGAGCUCAACCCGUCAUGGGGAUUCGAACCAUCGACCUACAGGUCGGCAAGUCCAAGAGGCUCAGUGAUUUAGACCACAGUGCUGCCCACAUUUACCACACCAGCACAAGAUAGUUUGAUUCUUGUUUAAAAGAAUCCUUAGGUUAAAUCCCUGACUGUUUAUGUCUACCUAUAAAAAUAUGUUCAAUUAUCAAGAAGUGGGGAAUGUAAGAACUUGAAAUUUCCCUGAUUUGUUAGUGUGAAAAGCAUAGAACUACAUAAAAUAUGUCCAUACUCUGUUUUCAGUUGCAUUCCUCAGUGGA